AAGACAUCGAAGUUUGUGCUUAGGGACCUAAACCCGUAGAUCCGAACUUGUGCUAGUUCGAUUCACAAGCUCGAUUCUAUGGGUCUAGGUAGCUAAUGCGGAGCCAUCUAUUAGACC
rnacentral:precursor_RNA from 12 species